rnacentral:rRNA from 1 species
UACAGAGGUCUCAAGCGUUGUUCGGAUUCAUUGGGCGUAAAGGGCGCGCAGGCGGCAGACCAAGUCAGGCGUGAAAGCCCCGGGCUCAACCUGGGAACUGCGUUUGGGACUGGUUUGCUAGAGAUCGGGAGAGGAGAGUGGAAUUCCCAGUGUAGAGGUGAAAUUCGUAGAUAUUGGGAAGAACACCGGUGGCGAAGGCGGCUCUCUGGACCGAGAUUGACACUGAUGAGCGAAAGCUAGGGGAGCAAACGGG